rnacentral:rRNA from 1 species
AUUGAACGCUGGCGGCAGGCCUAACACAUGCAAGUCGAACGGUAACAGGAAGCAGCUUGCUGCUUCGCUGACGAGUGGCGGACGGGUGAGUAAUGUCUGGGAAACUGCCUGAUGGAGGGGGAUAACUACUGGAAACGGUAGCUAAUACCGCAUAACGUCGCAAGACCAAAGAGGGGGACCUUCGGGCCUCUUGCCAUCAGAUGUGCCCAGAUGGGAUUAGCUAGUUGGUGGGGUAACGGCUCACCAAGGCGACGAUCCCUGGCUGGUCUGAGAGGAUGACCAGCCACACUGGAACUGAGACACGGUCCAGACUCCUACGGGAGGCAGCAGUGGGGAAUAUUGCACAAUGGGCGCAAGCCUGAUGCAGCCAUGCCGCGUGUAUGAAGAAGGCCUUCGGGUUGUAAAGUACUUUCAGCGGGGAGGAAGGUGUUGUGGUUAAUAACCGCAGCAAUUGACGUUACCCGCAGAAGAAGCACCGGCUAACUCCGUGCCAGCCGCAGC